rnacentral:rRNA from 1 species
GACGAACGCUGGCGGCGUGCUUAACACAUGCAAGUCGAACGGAAAGGCCCUGCUUUUGUGGGGUGCUCGAGUGGCGAACGGGUGAGUAACACGUGAGUAACCUGCCCUUGACUUUGGGAUAACUUCAGGAAACUGGGGCUAAUACCGGAUAGGAGCUCCUGCUGCAUGGUGGGGGUUGGAAAGUUUCGGCGGUUGGGGAUGGACUCGCGGCUUAUCAGCUUGUUGGUGGGGUAGUGGCUUACCAAGGCUUUGACGGGUAGCCGGCCUGAGAGGGUGACCGGCCACAUGGGGACUGAGGUACGGCCCAGACUCCUACGGGAGGCAGCAGUGGGGAAUAUUGCACAAUGGGCGGAAGCCUGAUGCAGCAACGCCGCGUGCGGGAUGACGGCCUUCGGGUUGUAAACCGCUUUCGCCUGUGACGAAGCGUGAGUGACGGUAAUGGGUAAAGAAGCACCGGCUAACUACGUG